GGAAAGAGAAGCAUGUUGACUCAUUUUCCCACAAGAGAGUUGCAUGAGCGUUCCCACCUUUGGCUCACCAGGUCCCUGGGGAGGGGCUGGUCUGCGUGGGUGGGUCAGUCUGCUUACCUGGUGGGCAGCACCAAGGGUGUGAGGGUGGUGCUGGUCAGUGCUGCAGCCUACACUGCCUUCUUCUUUUCACUAUGCAGACCCAUCCUGGCCACUCCCCCAAACACACGCCCCCUAAGGAAGACCUGUCACCUGCCACCCUCUCUCUUUCUGCACCUGCCACCCUCUCUCUUUUCUGCAUGUGAUGAAUGCUGCACCCUACCCCAGCAUUCAUCACGUCUCAGCCCUCAGUGAAAUCCUACAUGCAGGGGCUGCUUCCACAGGAUGUGGUUUGCUCAUUCAGUCAACAAACAUGAGCACCUACUGUGUGCCCUGUGGCAUGCCCAGCACUAGGAUGCACGUGGACAAGAGGCAGCUGUCCCUGUCUUCCCAUUGCUGAAGGUAACAGCAUCCUAGGGCUGUCUCUUUACCUGCAAGGUAAAAAGCCCAGAUGUAGUGAGUCAGUCAUUUUCACUCUGCACCUACAGUGUGCAAGGCAGAAAGCAAGGUGUGGCUGAAGACUGGAGACAGGACUCAGAAGAAUGGCAUAGUCUGCUCUGGGUACUGUGAGCUUUCAUGAAUAUUGUCAAGCUUGCUCAGAGACAGGGACAGGGCCUGGAUUGGGUGGGUGGGGGAAGACUUCUGGAGAAGGUAGGCCUUGAACAAGGGGCCGGCCUCAGGUGGACGGCAAAGCUGAAGGAGGAAGGUGCUCCAAGCAGAGUAAGCCUGAAUGAUUCAUGCAGGGGUGUGGAGGGUGAAGUGGACAGGUGUGAUCCAGCCACAGUGCCUGGGGGCUGCCUGAGAGAAGCUGGAGGAGCUGGUCAAGGGCUUUGAAGGGCCUUAAAUAUAGACAAAGAAAGCUUUUCCUCUGUUCUUCCCCACUGUGCUCAGGGGCUGAGGGAGAGUGGAGGCCUGGAAGAGUGAAGCCACGUGCCCAGCAUCGUAGUGAGUUUGAGGCAGGGCUGUGGCACAUCUGCGGGCUGCUAGUGCAGUGGUGGCUGUCUGUGAGGUCCCAGGAGGCCUGGAGUGAUGUGGCAGGUGCCAGGUGAUGGGAGGAGGGGAAGCAGGGCUCUCCAGCUGCUGCCACUGCUGAGCUGCUGCUCACCUGGCCUGGUCCCUUCGGCCUGUUACUAGGGCUAGAGCCUGGAGCCAGGCAAAGGCACCGCCCCUGUGCAUUUAAAGAGCCUUGUUUUUCUAACUCCCCUCUCCUCUCCCCGCAAGAUCAGCUUCACAUGCCCCAACUGGAGAAUGCAGACUUCCCCAUCUAGCAAAGCUUCUGGGGGCUGGCAUCAGGCUGGGAAGGAGGCAUGGUGCGCUCCAGGGAAGGUGGGGCUGCCCCACAGCUGGCUGUGAGUCCCCUGUCAGGUCCAGAGGCUCUGCCUCCUCAGCCCCUUGUGUUCCUCCCUUCCCCCAGGAAGAGGGUGAGGUCGCUGUUGAGGUUGGCCAGGCAUCCAGCUCUGGUGUUUCUGGACAUGAUGUCUUUCUCUUUUGUUUUCUGUACUUUUAAGUGGCAUUCUCACAGGCCCCAGCCUUCUCUCUGCUCAGCGUGCUCACCAUCUUUUGAUUACAGCAGGAUCUUGAGCUGCUGUGAUCAGGGGUAGCGUGCAGGUGUGGCGAGGAUACAGGGCUUGGGGUCUUGCACUUGAGACCGCAAGCCAGCACCUGAAGCAUUGGCUACUUGAGUCUCCCAUGCUUGGUUUGGCCAAAUGACCUUUCUGUGCGCUGGUGGGGCUUUCUGCCAGUUCUAGACGCUCACUUCUUGCUCGAGGCAUUGGGUCAAGGAAUAGCCACUUGGCAUGGUGCUCAGAGUGUCAUGUUAAUGGGCAGAGCAGUGGCGUGCCAUCGUGGGAGGAAGGCCAGGCUGUGCCUAAGAGGAGCUUGGUCAACCCAGACUCUAAGCUCAGCUACCAAACAACCAAGUGACCUCAGGCAAGCCACUCCACCUCUCUGAGCACAGCUUUGCUCAUUCACAGCAUGGAAGAGUGAUUAGGAGUGGAGACAGCGGCCAUGGUUGCUUUCCAGACACCAAGCCACCCCAUUCCCCUGACCAUUGUGCUGUUACCAAGCUGGGCAAGAAGCCAACUUUAUCUCUGUCGUUCUGGAGCUCCUAAGAUUCCCUCUUACCCCCAGGGACCUGAAAACAAGCCAGUUUCAGCUCAGAGGGAGCAGGCAAGGGGAAUUUGACCAUGUUGGCAAGCCUUCAGCCAGCUCUUCCCCGCAGCCAAAUGGGUCACUGGCUACAAACGUCCUUGGGUUUGCAAUGAUGAUCACAGGGAUCGUGGACUCCUGAACACCUUUGGAAUGGGCUUUGUGAAGCCAAGUACAUCACAGAUUAAAUUUCUGGAGAAGGAACAGCUUAGAAAUAGUCUCGAGCUUCCCUGAGCCACUUCUGUACUAUGGCAGCGAAAGGGUGUGCAUGUGCGUGCGAGGGGGAUCUGUGUUUUCUCCCCUAACAUAAGGGUAGGAGGUAGGGCAGAAGCAAAAGACGAUCUGAUCUUGUAAUGUGCAAUAGCCAGUGGGCCAGCUGGUGCUUUUCGUGGUUUUUAGGACAGUGCCGGGAACAGAAAGAAUAUGAUGAAUGUCAUGGAAUUUCAUGAUAGGAGUUUGGGGUGGCUUCCCCUCCUUUUUAAAAUAAAGUAAUGUUUUGAAGAGUUGCCCUGGAGAACUGCUGAAAGCAGAGAGGCUGAUGGACGUUUUUGGUUAUGUCAGAUGAGGACAAGAUUAUCCAAGUGAGCGAGGGUGUCUCUCCCUGUCGGCUGGGCUGCGGGGUUCCAGGGCCGCCCUGCCAGAAAGCAAGCAAAGGGCCCGUAAUCACAAACAGGCCAGGAUCAGUUACAACCAGAAGUAUUACUUUAGACUCUUGGCUUUGAUGGGGAAGAAUGCAGUUUUCUUUGGCCCCCUCCCCCGUCCUUCUCAAGUUAAACAAGAUCCAUGAAAGCAAUAGCUCUGGCGCUUAAAGAGAGGCUUGGUGCAGGGGUCUCAAAAGCCAAACAUUGGAGGGCUCCCCUGACCCCCACUGGUAUCGGGGUAGGGAUUUGCCUGACCCUUUUACUGCCCCAUUUCUUCUUGUGUGCACUGGGGAAUCCUGUUUUCCCAGACUCUUUCUUGUCUACCUGGGACCUUCUCACUGCCUCACCUGGGUCGUGCCCACCAGCCCGUGUCCUGGCAUUCUCUGAGUGCUUGCCAUGCAUCUUUCCUGCGUGGAUAUGUGGGUGGGAAGGAAGUCGGGCGGGGAUGGCAAAGAGAUGGCUCAGCACAUUGGAGCAGACCUUAACCAGCUCCUGAAGAUAACAGAACAGGAGAUUCUCAUCCCUCGGGGCUCCAACUCGCCCCUGGGGCACCCUCUUCUCCUCCCCUCCCCCUGCCUUAACCAGCGCCUCCUGGGCAAGCAUCUGACUGACUCUUUCCUGCUUGGGCAUGAACAACGCUGCUCUGGAGCACUGGCAUUAUGCGGGGCGUGCUUUCCCCGGCGCCGAUAACUGGAGCAGAACCGGGGUGGCCUGAACCUUACUGCCCACAGGGUGGGAUUUUAACUGGCCGCUCCUUGUAGGAGAGAAAGGACAGUUACCUCAGCAUCUGGGCUUUGCAUGGGGAGAAUGAGCAUCCAGGGUUCCUGUCUUGCUGGCUCCCUUGGGAGUAUUUAACCCUAUUCUUCUGUUUCCAAGCACCAAGUGCAAGCACCAGUGAGGCUCCAUGUCCCAGGCCUCACUGCACAACCAGACACAAACUUGCCUCCUUGGAUUUAAAAGGCCCCUGCAUUCAGUGGAGCUAGAACAUCUUGUUGGUGCUCAUGUGCCAGGGUGACACCAGUGGCUCCCAAAUUCCAACUGGGAAAGGAGCCUGGAAAAGCAUCGGCAUUCGUGGUGGCUACUCCCCACACCAAGCAGAAGAAUCCACGUUGUCAGAGAGCUGCUGACGUCAGGCGGUACUGGAUUUUUGCAAGCCCUCUAUUUAAAAUUCCCCAGAAAUUAAAUAAGGAGGCUUUGGAGGGAGGAAUGCCCUAGACAAAUUGUGGAGUGGGUUUGUUUUGUUUAUGGAGAUGGUCUUUAAAGUCUAAAUUGUCCCCGUUUUAUUUUUGCCCAAUUGAAGAGGGGCUGAACUCAGCUGGGAGGAAGGGGAUGGUUGUCAGCCUACAGCUUUUAGUUGAAACCAACUCCAUUCUGGGGCCAAGAAGCUUCCAUUUUUAGCAAAUAGAGAAAGGGAAAAAAUAUACAAACUCAUACAUGUACGCAUCUUAGGCACUGGAGUAAGCUAGUUAAAUGGAUAAGGAUAACCUUUAUAUUUCAAGUGACCACAGCUCUCUUCUCCAGGCUGCAAAUAGAUAUAUUAAGCACCAGGCACAUUGCUGGGUACUUUCCAUUCUUUUCUUUUCUUUUUCUCACCACGACACUGGUAGUAUAUACAUGCUAUUUCAUAUUCCCAUCUCACCAAUGGGAACUUAAGCCUCAUUCUUCAGCCUCUUCCUUCAGCCACUGUGAAGGACCAGGCACCAUACUAGUCUGAUGUUGGCUUCCUAAAGCUGUAGUCCACCCAACACCAUGAUAUAUGAGAGGAUCUCAGGUGGCAGAGAGGCAGUAUCAAUCCUUCUGCGUCACACAGUGGGAAAAGUUUGUCUCCCUGCAGUUCUCUUCCAAGCCUUCUGACUUGUUGCAGUUUGAUGUUCGAUGAUCUUUAACCCCUGUCUAGUAAAUCUUUGUAGCAAAGAGGGAGCGGGCCACAGACUCAGCCUCUUCAUUUGUGGCACAGUUCAAAUGUACUACAUAGCUUUGUUUUCAUCGUGUGUGCUUUUCUGUUGGAGCCAGUGGUCCUCGUUGUUUAUUCAUGGUGGCGAUCCAAAGUUUCCUUAGCAAAUUUUUUUCUUAAAGUUUAAAAAAAAAAAAAAAGGCAAAUUGCUUUAAAAAUACAGUCCAUUUCCAGACUUAUGAUGGUGUGACUUACAAUUUUUCAGCUUUAUGAUGGGUCAAUGGGGGUAUUAGUACAUUUUGAACUUGGGAUAUUUUCAACUUAACAAUGACUUUAUCAGAACGUAACCCCAUUGUAAGUCAAGGCACAUCUGUGUAUGUUAUAUGAACCACAGUAUAUGUAAUUCAAGGAUAUAGCAAAGGUUGUGUGUGGUGUAGAAAUACCUGAGGUUUGAGGAAAGCUGAUUCAAAGUCACUCUUGCUUGGCAAAGCCCUUGGGUGAGAUCUCGUGCCAGAACGCUCUUUCAGCCUGGGUGACCCUGCCUUGCCCUACCAUGUGGGCUUAGAGGAGAGGCAACUUGGAGGCAAGCCUGCAAACCACCUCUCCACGAGGAGUGGGAAAAGCCACGUCCUCGACUCUUCCAAGACUCAGGGCUCGGUGGACACCAGUGGAGUGGAGGAGAAGCAGAUGAGGUACUGGGUUUCUUGGCUCAUCUGUCAGAUGGGAAUUUGGGGCAUAAUAGAGCAGGCAUUGCUGGUUUCCUUCUGGAAGGCAAUGAACAGCUGAGCUGGAGUGGUUUCAGGGUCGCCGAAUGAAUGCUGUGCUGCAUAUCAGACCUGAGUGCCAAUCCUGGCACCUCCCCUUCUUAGCCACACUCCCUGGGUAAGUCCCAUAUUCUGAGUUUCCUAAGGCAGCCUAAGAUUUCACAGAUCUGGGGACAGACUUCUGCCCCAAGACAUACUGAACACACAGUCCUCAGAACUCCUUUCUCAUCCUCACUGCCAGGAGGGGGACCUGUACAACUCAGGCUGCCUGGACCCUCCCGGCUUGCACCUAAGAUUUUGGCGUCAUGGCUGUUAAUAUUGAUACGGCCCUUCCAUUUGCUCCAAAAA